CUCUAUUAGGCAUUGCUACAUAUUUACAUUUAGCCAUGUACGUAGGGAUAUAUUCCUAAACUCUGUCCUCAAAUUUAAGAUCCUCCACGAAUUUUUAAUUUUCUGCACUGGUUACAGUUAAGAAAAACUGUAAACGUCCUUGGGAAAGGUGGCUUAAUAGAAUGGUUAGAUCACAGACUCUGGCUUGGCUUGGUGGCACAGGUCUACAGUCCUAGCUACUAGUGAAGCUGAAGCAGAAUCACCUGAGCUCAGGAGUUCUUGGCUGUAGUACACAACGAGCAUUGGGUGUCCUCAGUUUGGCAUCAAUAUGGUGACCGCACAAGAGCCAGGGACCACCAUGUUACCUAAGGAGGAGUGAAGCAACUCAGGUCAGAAAUGGAGCAAGUCAAAACUCCCAUGCUCAUCAGUAAUGGGAUCAUGCCUGUGACUAACUCUGCACUCCAGCUUGGGCAACAUAGCAAGACCCUAUCUCUUGAAAAAUAAAUAAAGAUCACAGACUCUGAAGCCAGACUGGCAGGGUUCAAAUCCUGACUGCCAUUUUUAACUGGAAGACCUUAGGUAAGUUACUUCACCUCUCUGUACCUGUGUAAAAUGGAGAUAGCAAUAGUAUCCACUUGACAGAGUUAUGAGGAUGAAAUACGUUCACAUUUAUAAAGCGUUUGGAACGCAGUACUUGGCACAUAGUAAGACCAUGUAAGUGUUUGUAAAAUAAAACAAAAUAAAUGGCAUAUACCAAAUAAGUGGAAAUGUAUCCAAAUUCCAUUAGCAUUUCCUUUUUAACAGUUUUAUUGAGAUACAGUUAACAUGCUAUAAAAUGUCCCCAUUUAAUGUACAAUAUAAUGACUUCUAGUGUAUUCAGAGUUCUGCAACCAUCACCACAAUCAUUUUUAGAACAAAAAGAAACCCCAGCCUCAAUUAGCAUUCACUCCAUGCCCCAUCCCCCACCCAAGCCCUAGACAACCACUAAUCUACUUUCUGUUGGGGUUGUGGGUUUUUUUCCCAUGGGGGCAUCUCACUUUGCCAUCCAGGUUGGAAUACAGUGGCAUGAUCAUGACCCACUGCAGCCUCAAACUCAUGAGCUCAAGCUGUCCUUCCACCUUAGCCUCCUGAGUAGCUGGGAGUACAGGCAUACCACCACAGCUGGCUGUUUUGUUUUUACAGAGAUGGGUCUACCAGUUAAGCAUCCCUAAUCCAAACAUUUCAAAUCCGAAAUGCUCCAGGGAGCAUUUCCUUUCGAGUAUCACAUUGACAGAAAGUUUCAGAUUUUGCAGCAUUUUAGAUUUUGGAUUUUCAGAUUAGGGAUACUCAACCUGUAUUUUAUAAGGGCACCAAUCCCAUUCAUGAGAGCUCUGCCCUAAAGACCUAAUCAUGGGUCAAGCACGGUGGCUCACACCUGUAAUCCCAGCACUUUGGGAGGCCAAGGCAGGCAGAUCAUGAGGUCAGGAGUUCGAGAGCAGCCUGGCCAACAUAGUGAAACCCCCGUCUCUACUAAAAAUGCAAAAAUUAGCCAGGCAUAGUGGUGCGCACCUGUAGUCCCAGCUACUGGGGAGGCUGAGGCAGGAGAAUUGCAUAAACCCGGGAGGCAUAGGUUGUUUUGAGCUGAGAUGGUGCCACUGCACGCCAGCCUAGGCAACUCCGUCUCAAAAAAAAAAAAAAA
rnacentral:lncRNA from 1 species